UACGUAGGGUGCAGGCGUUAAUCGGAAUUACUGGGCGUAAAGCGUGCGCAGGCGGUUUGCUAAGAGAGAUGUGAAAUCCCCGGGCUUAACCUGGGAACUGCGUUUCUAACUGGCAGGCUUGAGUGUGGCAGAGGGGGGUGGAAUUCCACGUGUAGCAGUGAAAUGCGUAGAGAUGCGGAGGAACACCGAUGGCGAAGGCAGCCCCCUGGGCUAACACUGACGCUGAGGCACGAAAGCGUGGGGAGCAAACAGG
rnacentral:rRNA from 1 species